UUAAAAUUAUGAAAUCUACAUUAAUUCGGUAAAAAUAUGUUUUAAUGGUACAUUGUGAUUAUGGCGAUAGUAUGUACAUACUGAUACAUGUAUAUAGCAUAUGAAGUCUGAGUGUCCAAAUGCAUUAUUCAUAUAUGUCAAUUAAUAUACAUAUUUAUUUAUGAAAUUCUGCGCAUAGAAGUUAUUUUUCAUUUCUUUACAUCUCAUAGUGAGUUUGAAUAACUAUUUACAGAAAAUGCAAAGAGAGAUGCAGAUCUUUAAAGUGAUAUGUUCAACGACAAAUAUUGUAAGCUCAUUUCAGAGCUUAGCAAAAUAUGUUUAUGCGCUUUUUUCUUCCAUUUUUAGGAUAAGUUUCAGUUGAGAAACUGGCCAGCGAUGUGUGUUGUAACUUACAUUCAAACUACAUUGUACAGGAACUUUUUCCUUUUUAUAUUUAUGUUUUUGUCAUAUAGGUUAUAUGAAGAAAUUGUAUCUAUGAAUGAUGAAAUCAAAAAGUAACUCUUUGUUCAUAGUACACACAAACCAAGACUGUAAUAGAAAUCAGGAAAUUUUAAUGGUCCUAUACCUAUAAUGCUGAAAAUUAAUCUUCUAUCUGUUCUAAUUAACCACCUGUCAUAAAAACUCUAACUUUUGCAUUUUAUACAAUGGUGAGU